AUGGCCAAAAAUAAAAGAAAGCUUGCAACACUGCAUUCUUUUUUUGAGAAGAAAAGAAGAACUGAUGAUGUUCCAGAACAGAUUAAUUUGGUUGAUGCCCCUCCCUUGGUAGAUGAAGAAGAGCAAGUAAAUGAACAAGAACAAGUAGAAGAAACACCACAUUUCAGUGAGUUCUAUGUGGAUUUCAUUAAUUCUCGUGUGGAGGAUGAGACUACACUUGAGCACCAUUAUCGCUGUGACAUUUUCAUGGUUGCUGUUGAUCAGCAAGCACAAGAGCUGAAUUAUAGAUUCAACAAAUAAGCAACAGAGCUUCUCAUCCUGUGUACUUCCUUGGACCUAAAAGAUUCAUUCCGUUCAUUUAACAUAUAUAAUAUAUGUUCUCUGGCUUCAAAGUUCUAUCCUGCUGAUUUUAAAGAACAAGAAAUGAAUAAUCUAAGAUGUCAGUUACGACAUUACGAGAAUAUUGUACCCACAAGCCCAAAACACAUUCGGCUUGUUCUUACUUUACCGGUUUCAACGGCAACGACAGAACGUGCAUUUUCUGCCAUGAAACUUGUGAAGACAAGGCUUUGGAAUAAAAUGGAAGAUGGAUUUCUAAGGGACUGCUUGCUAAUUUAUAUUGAAAAGGAGAUUGCUGUUGGAAUAUCAACAGAUGCAAUUAUAGAUGAGUUCGAUGAACCAUCACGUCGAGUGCCAUUUAGUUGA
rnacentral:rRNA from 1 species